GGUGAGUAACACGUGGGUAACCUGCCUGUAAGACUGGGAUAACUCCGGGAAACCGGGGCUAAUACCGGAUGGUUGUUUGAACCGCAUGGUUCAAAUAUAAAAGGUGGCUUCGGCUACCACUUACAGAUGGACCCGCGGCGCAUUAGCUAGUUGGUGAGGUAACGGCUCACCAAGGCGACGAUGCGUAGCCGACCUGAGAGGGUGAUCGGCCACACUGGGACUGAGACACGGCCCAGACUCCUACGGGAGGCAGCAGUAGGGAAUCUUCCGCAAUGGACGAAAGUCUGACGGAGCAACGCCGCGUGAGUGAUGAAGGUUUUCGGAUCGUAAAGCUCUGUUGUUAGGGAAGAACAAGUACCGUUCGAAUAGGGCGGUACCUUGACGGUACCUAACCAGAAAGCCACGGCUAACUACGUGCCAGCAGCCGCGGUAAUACGUAGGUGGCAAGCGUUGUCCGGAAUUAUUAGGCGUAAAGGGCUCACAGGCGGUUUCUUAAGUCUGAUGUGAAAGCCCCCGGCUCAACCGGGGAGGGUCAUUGGAAACUGGGGAACUUGAGUGCANAAGANGAGAGUGGAAUUCCACGUGUAGCGGUGAAAUGCGUANAGAUGUGGAGGAACACCAGUGGCGAAGGCGACUCUCUGGUCUGUAACUGACGCUGAGGAGCGAAAGCGUGGGGAGCGAACAGGAUUAGAUACCCUGGUAGUCCACGCC
rnacentral:rRNA from 1 species